rnacentral:ncRNA from 1 species
UAAGCUGCUGAGAUGAGGACAACAUUAUUUCCUGAUUACGUACUCAGAGAGGGAAGUCAUUUGGCUGCAAGCUUCCUUUCGUGAAGAAAUAAUUACCGCCUCGGAGCAUUGCUGCUGAAACGAUUGAAAGUAGGCAGUAACGUCCUAUCUGCGUUAAAGAUCAAUGAAGCUGAGGAUAAGAGGAUUCGUUUAUCUUCAGGAAUUUGGGUGGAACCACGGCAUAAAACGCUCGUCCCUUUG